GAUGAACGCUGGCGGCGUGCCUAAUACAUGCAAGUCGAGCGAACGGACGAGAAGCUUGCUGCUCUGACGUUAGCGGCAGACGGGUGAGUAACACGUGGAUAACCUACCUUUAAGAGUGGGAUAACUUCGGAAAACCGGAGCUAAUACCGGAUAAUAUCUUGAACCGCAUGGUUCAAAAGUGAAAGACGGUCGUGCUGGCACUUAUAGAUGGAUCCGCGCUGCAUUAGCUGGUUGGUAAGGUAACGGCCUACCAAGGCAACUAUGCAUGGCCGAACUGAGAGAGUGAUAGGCCACAUGGGAGCGUAGCCACGGUCCAGACUCCUACGGGACGGAGCAGUAUGGUACGGGCCGCAGUGGGCGAAAGUCUUACGGAGCAACGCGGCGCGAGAUAUGAAGGUGCUCCGUGCGGAAAACUCUGUUAUUAGGGAUGAACAUAUGUCUAAGUAACUGAGCCCAGCGUGACGGUACUUAAUCAGAAAGCCCCGGCUAACUACGUG
rnacentral:rRNA from 1 species